UACGUAGGUGGCAAGCGUUGUCCGGAAUCACUGGGCGUAAAGGGCGCGUAGGUGGCCCGUUAAGUGGUUGGUGAAAUCCCGGGGCUCAACUCCGGGGCUGCCGAUCAGACUGGCGGGCUAGAGCACGGUAGGGGCAGAUGGAAUUCCCGGUGUAGCGGUGGAAUGCGUAGAGAUCGGGAAGAAUACCAGUGGCGAAGGCGUUCUGCUGGGCCGUUGCUGACACUGAGGCGCGACAGCGUGGGGAGCAAACAGG
rnacentral:rRNA from 1 species